rnacentral:rRNA from 1 species
AUCCAGACUCCUACGGGAGGCAGCAGUGGGGGAUAUUGCACAAUGGAGGAAACUCUGAUGCAGCGACGCCGCGUGAGGGAAGACGGUCUUCGGAUUGUAAACCUCUGUCUUCAGGGACGAAAGCAAUGACGGUACCUGAGGAGGAAGCCACGGCUAACUACGUGCCAGCAGCCGCGGUAAUACGUAGGGGGCAAGCGUUAUCCGGAUUUACUGGGUGUAAAGGGCGUGUAGCCGGGUUGACAAGUCAGAUGUGAAAUCCUGCGGCUUAACCGCAGAACUGCAUUUGAAACUGUUGAUCUUGAGUACUGGAGAGGCAGACGGAAUUCCUAGUGUAGCGGUGAAAUGCGUAGAUAUUAGGAGGAACACCGGCGGCGAAGGCGGCCUGCUGGACCGCGACUGACGUUGAGGCUCGAAAGCGUGGGGAGCGAACAGGAUUAGAUACCCGGGUA